rnacentral:lncRNA from 1 species
UCGCAUUGUGCGCCCUGCCGCCGAUCGCCGAGUCGAGGUGGGCCGGCUUGGGGUAGGCCUUGACGCAACCGCGCACCCAUUUGGCCUCGGGCGCCGCGUGGUCACCGACGGCUUGUGGGGCGUCGCGCUUUUCCUUUUCCGCAUGCGCGCCAUUGGCCUUGUAUUUGUCCUCGUCUUCGUCCUCGUCCUUUUCGGGUACCCAUCGCCUCUUUUUCUCCUUGGCGGCGAGCGCGUGGUGUCUGUCCUCGAUGGGGUCGGUGAUGAAGAGCAGGCACCCGCGGCCCACGACUGCGCUGACGU